rnacentral:rRNA from 1 species
UACGUAGGGUGCGAGCGUUGUCCGGAAUUAUUGGGCGUAAAGAGCUCGUAGGCGGUUUGUUGCGUCUAUCGUGAAAACCUGCAGCUUAACUGUGGGCUUGCGGUGGAUACGGGCAGACUUGAGUUCGGUAGGGGAGACUGGAAUUCCUGGUGUAGCGGUGAAAUGCGCAGAUAUCAGGAGGAACACCGGUGGCGAAGGCGGGUCUCUGGGCCGAUACUGACGCUGAGGCGCGAAAGCGUGGGGAGCAAACAGG